rnacentral:rRNA from 1 species
AUAUUGGACAAUGGGGGCAACCCUGCUCCAGCCAUGCCGCGUGUGUGAAGACGGUCUUNGGCUUGNANAGCACUUUAAGUUGGGGNACAGGGCUUUAGGUUAAUACCCUGAAGUUUUGACGUUACCAACAGAAUAAGCACCGGCUAACUCUGUGCCAGCAGCCGCGGUAAUACAGAGGGUGCAAGCGUUAAUCGGGAUUACUGGGCGUAAAGCGCGCGUAGGUGGUUCAGUAAGAUGGGUGUGAAAUCCCCGGGCUUAACCUGGGAACUGCUUUCAUAACUGCUGAGCUAGAGUACGGUAGAGGGUAGAGGAAUUUCCUGUGUAGCGGUGAAAUGCGUAGAUAUAGGAAGGAACACCAGUGGCGAAGGCGACUACCUGGACUGAUACUGACACUGAGGUGCGAAAGCGUGGGGAGCAAACA